rnacentral:rRNA from 1 species
AGGUUAAGAGGAUGCGUCAGUCGCAAGAUGAAGCGUUGAAUUGAAGCCCGAGUAAACGGCGGCCGUAACUAUAACGGUCCUAAGGUAGCGAAAUUCCUUGUCGGUUAAAUACCGACCUGCAUGAAUGGCGUAACGAGAUGGGAGCUGUCUCAACCAGAGAUUCAGUGAAAUUGUAGUGGAGGUGAAAAUUCCUCCUACCCGCGGCAAGACGGAGAGACCCCGUGGACCUUUACUACAACUUAGCACUGCUAAUGGGAAUAUCAUGCG